rnacentral:rRNA from 1 species
AUUGAACGCUGGCGGCAUGCCUUACACAUGCAAGUCGAACGGCAGCACGGGUGCUUGCCCCUGGUGGCGAGUGGCGAACGGGUGAGUAAUACAUCUGAACAUGUCCUGUAGUGGGGGAUAGCCCGGCGAAAGCCGGAUUAAUACCGCAUACGAUCCACGGAUGAAAGCGGGGGACCUUCGGGCCUCGCGCUAUAGGGUUGGCCGAUGGCUGAUUAGCUAGUUGGUGGGGUAAAGGCCUACCAAGGCGACGAUCAGUAGCUGGUCUGAGAGGACGACCAGCCACACUGGGACUGAGACACGGCCCAGACUCCUACGGGAGGCAGCAGUGGGGAAUUUUGGACAAUGGGCGAAAGCCUGAUCCAGCAAUGCCGCGUGUGUGAAGAAGGCCUUCGGGUUGUAAAGCACUUUUGUCCGGAAAGAAAUCCUUGGCUCUAAUACAGUCGGGGGAUGACGGUACCGGAAGAAUAAGCACCGGCUAACUACGUG